rnacentral:misc_RNA from 1 species
UGACUACUGGCAGGAUCAACCAGGUAGCACUCCUCGAUCGACAUCAGCACGCAUGAGCCCAUCCGAAUCACGAAAGGGUCAACUCGUGCUUAAUUGUCGUCCGUGCUUAGCGUAAAACGCUACAUUGGGUGUGCAACGCAUUCACGUCCACUCCCACUAAACAUUCUGCAUCCCGGGGCACAACCAAGGACCAUUACCCUUUCUGAAGUGCUUAAUUUAGCAUAUUCAGUGGCUAACGGACUUGAUUUUGUAGGUUCACCGGACACCCCGCUAAGGAUGUAGGGCGAAGAACAUAACUUCAAGGCAACCGAUACCAUCAAUAGGAAUUCAACACAGGAAACCACAUGUUGCCCAAGGCUUAAUUGCACUUGAGCAAACAAUGAAUAGGCAUGCUAGUGAACGGUUCAGUGCAAAAGUAAAGAGCCUG